rnacentral:rRNA from 1 species
UACGUAGGGACCAAGCGUUGUUCGGAUUUACUGGGCGUAAAGGGCGCGUAGGCGGCGCGGUAAGUCACUUGUGAAAUCUCUGAGCUUAACUCAGAACGGCCAAGUGAUACUGCAGUGCUAGAGUGUGGAAGGGGCAAUCGGAAUUCUUGGUGUAGCGGUGAAAUGCGCAGAUAUCGGGAGGAACACCGGUGGCGAAGGCGGUUCUCUGGGCAUUACCUGACGCUGAGGAGCGAAAGUGUGGGGAGCGAACAGG